rnacentral:rRNA from 1 species
CCUACGGGUGGCAGCAGUGGGGAAUAUUGGGCAAUGGGCGCAAGCCUGACCCAGCAACGCCGCGUGAAGGAAGAAGGCUUUCGGGUUGUAAACCUCUUUUAAGGGGGAAGAGCAGAAGACGGUACCCCUUGAAUAAGCCACGGCUAACUACGUGCCAGCAGCCGCGGUAAUACGUAGGUGGCAAGCGUUGUCCGGAUUUACUGGGUGUAAAGGGCGUGCAGCCGGAGAGACAAGUCAGAGGUGAAAUCCACGGGCUCAACCCGUGAACUGCAUUUGAAACUGUUGCCCUUGAGUGUCGGAGAGGUAAUCGGAAUUCCUUGUGUAGCGGUGAAAUGCGUAGAUAUAAGGAAGAACACCAGUGGCGAAGGCGGAUUACUGGACGAUAACUGACGGUGAGGCGCGAAAGCGUGGGGAGCAAACAGGAUUAGAUACCCGUGUAGUC